CGCGCGGCGUGACAGUUCCCAACGGACAGUGUCAGCGCUCUGGGCGCGAGCCCCGCCCGCGAGGGCCCCCCCCCCUCACCAACUCGCAGCAGCAGCGCCGGGACCGUCUCGCGCCGCCCCCUCCUGCUGCCUCGCUGCUGCUACUGCUGCGCCGCCGCGGCGGGACCGCUGCUAGCCCCGAGCCACCGCCUGCUCCGGAGCGGGCCCGUCUGAGCUGUAAUUCAAGGAUAUUUGUCUUGCAAUUUUUUCAUAUUUUUGGUGCAACGUUUUUAUCCCCCCACCCCCCUUGGAGCCUCUCCCCAGCUGGACUCUCCGCCGGGCUCCCAGACCGAGCAGCCCCUGACACGUGAAUGAGGCAGCCACCCGGCCAAUUUGACAUGGCUCUCAGCUGCACGCUGCUCCCCUCCAGCGCGACCUUCGCAGCGGGCACUGCGGGCAGGGAGAAAGCCCUGAGGCAGGCAGGUGCCAGCAAUUCUGCAUCAUCAUGGAAAUGCACAAGAGGACUGAAUUAAGGGUGCCCAGGGCAACACUUAUUUGGACAUUUGCUAACAAGAGAUCAUAAAAUUUCGUAACCUUUUAAUCGUUUUUGAAAAUCUUGUCUUUGUAUUUCCUAAUUAUUUUAUGGUUUAUUUUAUUGAUGAAAGCAAACUUAAGUAACGUUAAAUGAAGGGUUUUUUGGUUUAAUUUCCUUAUUUUUUUAAAUAUAAAUAAUAAUAGUUUUUUCUUUCUAUGUACUGUUUAAACAAUGAAGCUCUUACUCAUCUGUUGUUUUCAGUAUAUAUUUUAUUGCCAUUCUUAUCUUUGUGAAGGUCCCUUUUUCACCACUCAAUGCUGUGUUUAUCACAGAAUUGAAAGUAAUUAAAUUAAACUGUAUUAAAACAUAACUCAUUUUAUGCAACUUCAGUUUCCGUGAAAGUUCUAAGCUAUAACCCUGAAUGUGCAAGGAGCAGAUAAACAAUAUCCAAGAAAAAGAGCUGGAAUUUUUCAUCUUAUUUUCACCUAGCCCUUACUAAGGAAAGUAGCAAACAAUUGCCCUUUGUAAAGAAACACUGCACCGUACUACAGUACAAACCCAAAUGAGCACAGCAGGAGGCUAUCCCGGCUAUCCACAUCUGGCCCUGUUUCAUUACAAGCUUCCUUUCUGUAAUGAUGUUCUGGUAUUAAGGGGGUAAUCAGUCGUCAAAGGUAGCUCUUGCCAUGGUAGCCAGGUUGCUAAUCAUUCUCCCCAAGUAUGCAAAUGAACUGGAGGGACGGGGUGCUGAGUGGUGGAUCGUCUCUGAUGUCACAAUGCUACGGCUCAGCCAGCACCAGGUGGCAGCAAAUGUGCAGUGUGUAUGAGAGGAACAGGGUUUCCCAGGGCUCCUGUUUCCCCAAAUUUCCUAAAGAAGACAACAACCUAACUACAUAGAAUACACAUUAAUGAUGAUUCCACACACAUGAUAAUUAGUCAGUGUGGAAGUAGGGAAAGAAUUAAUAAGGAUUUGAAGGGGAUCUUAAUACAUGUCAGUCAGUUAGCAAGAGUUAGGCCAGCUGUAACCCUAAUGACGUGAGACUUCUAGAAG